UGCAAACGCUGGCGGCGUGCCUAAUACAUGCAAGUCGAACGGGGAAAGUAGCAAUACGAGUACUAGUGGCGCACGGGUGAGGAACACGUGGGUAAUCUGCCUUCGAGCGGGGGAUAACUAAUCGAAAGAUUGGCUAAUACCGCAUAAGACCACAAGAUCUGCGGAUCUAGGGGUCAAAGCCGCAAGGCACUUGAAGAUGAGCCCGCGUAAGAUUAGCUAGUUGGUGAGGUAACGGCUCACCAAGGCGAUGAUCUUUAGCUGGUCUGAGAGGAUGAUCAGCCACACUGGAACUGAGACACGGUCCAGACUCCUACGGGAGGCAGCAGUAGGGAAUAUUGCGCAAUGGGGGCAACCCUGACGCAGCGACGCCGCGUGAGUGAUGAAGGCCUUCGGGUCGUAAAGCUCUGUUAUAUGGGAAUAAGAUCUGAAUGUACCAUGUGAGAAAGGAUCGGCUAACUUCGUGCCAGCAGCCGCCGUAA
rnacentral:rRNA from 1 species